AGGCAGAAGCGAAGGCAACAAGAGCGGGGGAGCAAAUCACAGAGAAAUGGAAACAUGAUCUGACUCUUCGAGCAAGUGUUGCUGCUAAGGCACGAUAGAGGAAAUUAGAGUUGCUGUUCCUGUCCUGGUCUGAUCAUCAUAAGAAGCUUUUCAAUUUUCCAAGGAGACAAUGGACAGGGAACGGGAGACGUACAAGUUGGGAACAUAGGUCCCAAAACAAGGAGGAUACCAGGAGUCGAUGAUGCCUAAGAGAAGUCGUGGAGGAUUUGACUGCUGAAGAUGAGCUAAUGGAUGGAAGUCCUUCAGGUCCAUGAGAGGAUUGAUGGCGAUCCACAGAAGGUGCCUGAUACCGGUAAUGACAGUUGAAGUCCGGUACUGAUGCAAUAGUUAGAUGUGGUGAUUAGGC